rnacentral:lncRNA from 1 species
AAGCCCUUGAUGAAGGCGGCCUGACCGAACUGGACCUUCAGAUCCCUCAUCUCGGAGGAGGUUUUGAACUCCUCCACUGCCCAGACCAUUGCCUCCGAGACCAGGGUCAGGAUCUGUGCCUUCAACUCGGAGACCUCGGCCUCUGCUUUCUUUCUUUCCUCCUCCAAGGUGGCCCUCAAGUCUGCCAAGGUCUGCCCCUCCUUCUACAGCACCUCUUGGAGACUCGCAACUUCGGCAAUCUUCUCCUCGAGGCGGGCGACCUCGGCCAGGCGACCUUCCUCCGCUUGGGUGGCCUCCUUCCUAGCGUCGUUCAUCGCCUCGAUGUUGGCGAUAAGCUGGUGUCCAAUCUGCAAGAACGGCCAGGGAGUCAAUAUAAAAGCCGAGGAAUAAGCAAAGUAAAAAAACAGGAAAAAAGAGAUAUCGAAGAAACCUCCAAGCAAAGUGAGACCCCUGAAGGAGGGAGAUGGGUUUAAAUAAGCGACGAGGUCCGACGCAAUAAUGAUUGCAGAUCUCCUCUGAUCGAUCUACAACCGCCAUGUGUCCCACUCACCAUGGCA